GACGAACGCUGGCGGCGUGCCUAACACAUGCAAGUAGAACGAGGAAGUGCGGAGCUUGCUCUUAAUGGAUGAGUUGCGAACGUGUGAGUAACGCGUAGGGAACCUGCCUUAUAGCGGGGGAUAACUAUUUGGAACGAUAGCUAAUACCGCUUAACAAUGGAUGACGCAUGUCAUUUAUAUGAAAGGGGCAAUUGCUUCACUACAAGAUGGACCUGCGUUGUAUUAGCUAGUAGGUGAGGUAAUGGCUCACCUAGGCGACGAUACAUAGCCGACCUGAGAGGGUGAUCGGCCACACUGGGACUGUGACACGGCCCAGACGACCAGGGGAGGCAGCAGUAGGGAAUCUUCGGAAAUGGGGGCAAGCCUGACCGAGUAACGCCGCGUGAGUGCGGGAGGUUUUCGGGUCGUAAGGCUCUGUUGUAAGUUAAGAACGGGUGGGAGAGUGGAAAGUUCACGCUGUGACGGUAGCUUACCAGAAAGGGACGGCUAACUCCGUG
rnacentral:rRNA from 1 species